rnacentral:rRNA from 1 species
CAGUCGCCGCGGGAAUACGAAGGGGGCUAGCGUUGUUCGGAAUUACUGGGCGUAAAGGGCGCGUAGGCGGCCAUUCAAGUUAGAUGUGAAAGCCCUGGGCUCAACCUAGGAAUUGCAUUUGAUACUGUUUGGCUUGAGUUCGGGAGAGGUGAGUGGAAUUCCCAGUGUAGAGGUGAAAUUCGUAGAUAUUCGGAAGAACACCAGUGGCGAAGGCGGCUCACUGGACGCGUAUUGACGCUGAGGUGCGAAAGCGUGGGGAGCAAACAGGAUUAGAUACCCGCGUAGUCCCUGUCUCUUAUAC